CAUUGGCUCUGGAAAUGCUGCAGAAUGAGCCAUGUCCCUGCAUACAGAAAUAAAACUGAAAGGAGCCAGGUAGAAGAGUUGUGCUAGUGAGUUUUGCUCAGCACCUUGUAUACAGAACACUGACCCCUGUCCUAGUGAACAGUGAGUUCUGUUCUGGAACUCAGGCCUGCACCAGGCAGCUUCAGACAUGGGCAAUAACUGAAAUCCGUUGCAGAGGAAGGGUGCCUAUUUUGGGACUCCACAUCUGGAUGCCAUACUACAGGUGAGAUCUCUCCAGUGUGGAGAAAAGGGGCAGGAUCACCUCCCUCACCCUGCUGGCCACGCUUCUUUUGGGGAAGCCCAGGAUACAGUUGGCUUUCUGUGCUGCAUCUGUAGGACAAGAGGCAGAAAUACUGUAAAGCACAGGGAGUGAUCAUGGGAGACUGCUUUGUAUUUUGCAUUUUUGAAGGCCUUAUCUUACACGUGAAUGCUCAGAUGGUAAGUAAGACUAAGAUAAAUAAAAGCCCUAGAGUUCAGCAUUAGGAAACUUCAGUGUAAGUUGCAUAGACAAAACUGAAAAUUUGAACUUAAAUGCCUUGAGCCAUAAGGGACAAUUUUCAGAAUAUGAAUUAGCUGAAUCCAUAUUUCUCAGCAGUAAACACUGAAUUAUUCUUCCUACUUGCUCUGUUAAGUGUUGGUAGGAACACUCCAUAAAAACAAAAGUAGUAAUUUUUAAAAGAAAAAAAUGGAGCUGGAGUUUUCAAUCUGAUUUGUUUUCUGCUUAAGUAGGGAAAAAGUUAAUUCUCUUGCGUUAUCUCAGUUCUUUUACUUUAAAGACAGCAAGUUGUUCUCAAAGUAAUUCCAAAGUAAAUCUGUACCCAUCCGGUACAGGCAACAUGACAUCAAAUUUGCUCCAUCUACUAGUAAUGACAAUUGAGAAACUACUGGUGAAAUUAUGAUGUAGAUUGGAUGCAGGGGAAGAGAAAAUGUAUCUAAACUGUUCUUAUUUGCUUUCUCUAAGCAUGUGCUGCUGGAAAUAUAUUGGACCAGGAUGGACCUUUUAAUUGGUCCAGUACACAGUUUCUUCUAGGACUGAAGAGCAAGAAUGAAAUAUUAGGUUUUGGUUUUAUCAGAUCAUAUCAGAUUUUCAUGUGUAAUAUUUACUAGAAAACACCAAAGUAGUGUAAUGAUAUUUAUAUUUUGAAAGCUGGUAGGUAAUUACUUUAUCGAAGGAUCUUGUACUGCAACUCCUGCAGAAAAACAAUCAAUCUUCGGAAGAGAUUUAAGUAAGGAUCUUACGCUGUUCUACAUGUUAUAUUUAUGAUAAAAUACCUUGGAUUGUCUAUGUAGAUGAAUAUAAUGCUGCUCAUGUUUCAAGCUGUGAUCUGUUUUGUAUUCCCGUUUUCCAAAUUGAGCAAGCUUUGCGUAUAUUGCAGAGCAUAGUCACAUGGUUUACCUUUCCGUUCUUGUACCAGCUGAUUUACAGGGUGAUCCUAGAGAUUAUCCUGUAAUCACAAUAAUUGUAAAAAUCUAGAUUUUACUAUUGCUAAUCUUUCUAUAUGCUUGAAAUUCACAUUCUCUCCUAUCUGAACCUAAACUCACCUCAUUAAUUAUCCUUUGUUUCUCACUGUGUAGUAAACCUUCUCUUUUCACUUUCCAGUCUUUUUUCUAGAAAAAAGAAAUCCAAUUUAUAACUCAUAGUUUAUAAGCAGCAAAGUUUUAAUGUAAGUAACUUUUUAAUUAGUGUAGCUUUGUAUUUAAUGUUAGCAUCUUUGGAGAAUGACUAGCCAAAUUUCUUCUGUAUUCCUGAUUUACCAAGAUCUAAAAUAUAAUUUAUUUUUCCUUUGAGCUGCAGCAAGCUUCUUUGUAUGCCUCUGAGAAGUGGAGUUUGCCUUUGCAAUAAAUUCUGCCUCUCUUUGAUUUUAGUCAGUAUUGUUUUAAUAAGAAAGCAAUAGUGAUUUUGCUUCUGCAGAUCUACGGCAAUGAUAUUAAGGAACUAAACAGACUUUCUGGAGCCAAUUAGUAUUUUAUAACACAUUGGUUUCGUGUUAGUUGCCUUAUCUAUAAGAGAGGGACAAGUGACUUUGUUACUUUUGAACUUCUCUGCUCCGUGGGGCAUGGCAAAUUCAGAGAAAUAAAUUGCAUAUCUUUUAUUAUUAUUAUUACUAUUAUUAUUUUUAUUAUUAUUAGUCCAUAUUGGCUUAGCAAGGAAGAAAGCCCCAUGAAAUGCUCAAUACUAUAUGUAUGUCAGAAACUGGUGUCUUUUUUUUUCUUUCUUUUGCUAAAACAUAGAGUGGUUCUAGCAGGAACAGUACUGCUUCAGCAAUCAGUUUCAAAGGAUAAGUGCUCUAUUUUCUAGAGAAAUAUUUUUUCAUUUUGUACAGUGCAAAUCUUUUCUUACGUGAAAAUGGGAAAUGCAAACUCAAUAUAUUUUUGUUAGUAUUUACCAUAGUAUUCUGAGGGCCUUGAAGAUGUGCAGAGUGAAAUCUGACACUGCAGAUAAUAAGAUGAUAUCCAAUGACAGAAUUAAUGUACUCAUAAAGAACACUGGAAACAUUAUUUCUAACCCUUUAAAUAUUUCACAAUAUUGUAAGUAAAUAAUUUUAACUAAAUGAUUUAUAAGAAUUUUCAUUUAUUUGAGGGACCUUACUAUAAACUGUGAUGUUUUUAGAAGAAUAUUGGAUUCUGUAGUGAAAUGUAAAGGCAUUUUGGUGCAUUUCAUAGCCCCAAGAUUUAAUUAUUGACUGGAAACAGUCUAUAAUUUACUUCACUUUAUCUCAAGUUAUUUUGUAUCGCAUUUGUCAUUUUGUCAUCCAGUCACUCAUGUUAAGGUCAUUCUACAAUUUUUCACCAUUGGACCUUGCCUUUACUGCAUUUAAUAACUUAAGUUUCAUUGUAUUUUGUUGCUAGUUACGCUAUUUUGGAUCAUUCACUGAUUUAUGGAAUAACGUCAUUUAGAUACUGAUGUACAGUAUCACACAUCCCUGUCAUUCUACUGUGAGAAUUUACCAUUUACUCCCGUAUUUUGCUUCCUGUCUUUUAUCUAAGUAUUAAAGUAUGCAUAUACCCUCUUUGUUAUUGCAUAACAACUUACUUUCUUCAGAAAGCUGAGGAUGGAAGGGAGGACUCUUGGAACACUUUUGGAGUCCAGAUACUUGUCUCUCUACUGUUGUAUUUCAAGGAACUUGAGUGAGUCACUGAGGUGUAACUUCUUCAUGGAAAACAUAUUUUCGUUCUUCCUUCUUUUGUCAUAUUAUAUGCACUCCUACUAAUUCUGCUCUUUAGUAUGGGAAAGCACGAGACCUGUUUACCACCUUCACGUUGCCCUGAAUUCUUUUUAAGGAAUGAUCUCUCUCCAGGAUGCUCAUGACAAAGCAAUUUCAAAUGAGGGGGGGCACAUUAUUGUUUUGUCAUUUUCUCAAGUUCCUACAUCUGGAGGCAGUUUUAAUUAUGUUUUUCUUUUAUUUUUCCACGCCACUCUUCAACUAAAACUUCAGUUUAAGACAGACUGUCUGUUAAAUCUUCUAUUUUGCCCCAUCAAAAACAACAAAGCUAAAUCAGCUGAAUAAGACAUUGAUAGCCAAUUGUCUGUGGGAGCAAUCUACAGAAUUUUCUAUUAGAAUAAACAUAUUCUUAUUUCAUAAUAUACUAUAAUGGUGGCAAUGUGCUUUAGCCUAAGACUUUUUGAAGUAUUUAAAUCUGUGCCCAUGGACUCUUUUAGCAUGUAUCUUUCUGGUAGAGUAAUACUGCUACAAAUCCUAAUUUACACUACUGUGACAUAAAAACAUGCUCUUGCUAUUUUUCCUCUACAUGAGUAGAUGCAAAAUAUAUAGAUUCAAUGAGGUACUGAGUUAUUUCACUAUGUUGAUAAUCUCAUGAUCCCAGUGCUGUUCCAGCUGACAGUCUUAUUCUUUAUCAAUAUUUGUUAAAUUUUUGUUUGUCUUUCAUUUGUCUCAGGCCACUAAAACUGGCCAGUUGUGACUUUUACUUGUUGAUGAACAAUUUAUCUUUUUCCAUCUGGAACUAUUUUGAUGUUUUUCUAAAUCUACAUUUAAAGAAACACUGAAGCAAGAGAUUUAUAAUCUCAGAAGUAACUAAGAUCUCCUUCAAAUGAGUUGGAUCUCUGAAGAAAAGUCCACUUAAUUAGUUGAAUGCAUUACUUCUCAGUUUUAGUAGUGUAUUUUAUAGAUUUAGUAAUAUUUUCCCUUGUGUGUGAAUGGGCAUAAGCUGGCUUACAUUUGAAUCCUAGAAGCUGAAAUGCAGUAUUGGUCUUACAAAAGUAGGUUGCAAAUAGUGACUGCAAUUUGCACUGUAGAGUUAUACAGCACUGUACUGUUACAAUCUCAGAAGGAAGAAUUUAGUACUAAGGGAGAAUAUAUAUAUGUACAGUGCAUAAGAAAUGUAUGAUAUGACAGAAGCAUGCUGCACCUGCUGGUAAAAAUCUGCACUUGAUACCUCUCCUAGAGUAUUUAGGAGAUAAAUAUAAAGCAAAAGAUAAAAACAACAACAAAACAGUAGGGAAAUGUUCUCAAGUCAAAGCAUAUGGAGAGAAGCCUUUAGAAGCUAAAACUGCAUUUUUGGCUUCACAGCUACUGCUGACCCAAUGACCUAAUUUAUUUCGGUUGGAAAGUCAUGCUGUCUAGCUGAUGUAGUGUUGCAGAUCUCUUAAGUUAUGCAUUCCUGUAAUUUGAAAGUAUUUUUGCUUCCAUAAUUACUGUAAAACAGCAGAAUUACCUUGUGAAGACAGAAUAGAGAUUAGUAGAUUAGAAAAACUGCAUAACUUGUGCUAAUAUUUUUGCAGUUUUAAUGUCUGGUAAGCUUGUGAAAACCUGCAUCUUGUUGGAAUCAAUGAUUUUCCAUGAACUGCAGUUUUUCACCUUGUCCAGUUUGUCCUUCUCACAGAAUUACAGUCAGUACUUCCUUUUUACAGUGCUCACCUUCCACACAGUGGAUAGAAUGUGGCUAUUUGCUUUUCUUAGUCCAACCUUCUCAGACAAUAUUUGCUGAAGUGCCUGCAGAUAUGAAUUGCUUAUACUGAAGAGAUAUGAAAGUCAGGAUUCUCCUUCCUUAGUAGGUGGUAUAGCUUGUAGGUUGCUAUGAGAAAGAUUCUCACACUAUACUUUUCCUUGAGCAAUGUUUCUAAAAUAAGACGACCUUAUUUUUAUGUUUGUUUUUGCUACAGGGCUAUGCAAAUUUGUGCUGAGUCAAAUAUAUGCAUUACAUGUCGUUUGGAGUUGAAGUUAAAAAUGUUAUCCUGCUCUUAACUGCAGCAAAAAUUAAACAUAGGAUAGGUACUCAGCCUAUGUAGUUCUAUGCAAGUGUGCUUUAGUACAGAGAAGGUUUUUGUUUUUGUUCAAAAUGGAGGUGAUAGUUGCCUCCAGCAUUAGAGAACAUAUGAAAGGAAUCACUCUCAAUCCUCUCUCUCUGAGACUAAGGCAUCUACUUUUUGUCUGUGUCUAAAACAAAUUGUGAUCACUUCAAAUCAAGCCUUAAGCUACUCUUAACUGCUUCGUGUUCUAAUAAGAAAACAUGAUGUUAUUUCUAGGUAAGCAGUGAGCAGUACCUCUUCUCCUCAGCUCGUGUUGGGUAAAUAAGUUUUUCUCCAAAAAUAUCCAUAUCCUUUUUGUGAGAUGAAUAGUUAGGUUGAAUAGUGGUCCUGAUGGCACAAAAAGUCAGUACAAUUACGCAGUCAUUAUGUAAAUGAAUUCUGCCUCACUGAUUUCUUACUGAAUGAUAUAGGAGACAUUAAGAUAAGAUCUGAUAUAUUCAAAGAAUAACAUGAAUUUGAAUUUGGAAUGCUGACCAUGGAAAAAAACAAGCAAACAACAAAAAAGGUGAGCCAUUUGUAGCAUGUGGAUAAAAAAUAAAAUACUGAUGUUUUUGGUAUAUGUCUACUUUUUUUUUUUUUUCUUUUUGUCACAGAUAUUAAGCAAUAAAAUGUGGUAAAGUAUCAGAGCAAAAAAUAUAAUCAAAGUGGUGCAUUUGUGUCUUCAGUGCUUCUGGCCAAAGAACAUUUCUUUUUGGCAGUCUGCAUAUUGAUAAUGCCAUACCUGCAGAGAAUAUGCAGAUAAACUUCCUAAAACUGGACAGCCCUUGUACAAAUCUAUAUUUCAUGUAGCACUUUUCUUGUUUUCAUGUCAUGUCCCAUUUAUUCAAAGAAAUGGGACUGAAGGUUGCCUCAAUUUAACCAUCAACUGGACAACAUGCAGUGGAUAGGAUCUAAGUUGAACCAGUGACCACUGAGAUAUGUUAUAUAUUCUGCACAUUCGUGGUAUAACCUCUAGGAACAGCAGGAUGUGUUCUUGCUCCAAAUAAGCCAAAAUAAUUAUUACAGGCAUGGUGCAGGAAACAUUUCCUCACAGCUGCAUUUAUAUGCUGAGAUAACAAGCAUUUAUUGUUCUAGAAACAGGGAGGAUGCUCACAACUGCUCUUGGGGGCAGACUAAAGAAUUUUUUUGACCAGUACUCAUCAUCUGGAAUCUUGUGGAAGAAAUCCAGGAGCAACUGGAUGCUACCUGGAAGAGGUUCCCUCUGACUCACAGGAGAUGCUUCUGCUGCUGCUUUCAGCUGAAUUAUCAUUUCAGCAAACUCAUACUUCAAAUA